AACGAGCGCAACCCUCGUCGUAUGUUAUUAUGUGUCAUACGAGACUGCCGGUAAAAGCCGGAGGAAGGUGAGGAUGAUGUCAAGUCAGCAUGAACCUUUAUAUCCAGGGCUACACACACGCUACAAUGGUCUGUACAAUGGGUAGCCAAGCCGCGAGGCGGAGCCAAUCCUGAAAGCAGGCCUCAGUUCAGAUUGCAGUCUGCAACUCGACUGCAUGAAGCCGGAGUUGCUAGUAACCGCAGGUCAGCAAUACUGCGGUGAGUACGUUCCCGGGUCCUU
rnacentral:rRNA from 1 species